GAUGAACGCUGGCGGCGUGCCUAACACAUGCAAGUCGAACGGAGUCCAGCCUUUAAGACCUUCGGGUCAAAGAGGGGAAGACUGAGUGGCGGACGGGUGAGUAACACGUGGGCAACCUGGCUCAUAGAGGGGGAUAACAGAGAGAAAUUUCUGCUAAUACCGCAUAAGCACACCCUGCCGCAUGGCAGAGGGUGAAAAGAGAAUCGCUAUGAGAUGGACCCGCGUCUGAUUAGCCAGUUGGCAGGGUAAGAGCCUACCAAAGCGACGAUCAGUAGCCGAUCUGAGAGGAUGAACGGCCACAUUGGGACUGAGACACGGCCCAAACUCCUACGGGAGGCAGCAGAGGGGGAUAUUGCACAAUGGGGGGAACCCUGAUGCAGCGACGCCGCGUGAGUGAAGAAGUAUUUCGGUAUGUAAAGCUCUAUCAGCAGGGAAGAUAAUGACAGUACCUGAAUAAGAAGCCCCGGCUAACUACGUG
rnacentral:rRNA from 1 species